rnacentral:rRNA from 1 species
GGUUAAGCGACUGAGCGUACACGGUGGAUGCCCUGGCAGUCAGAGGCGAUGAAGGACGUGCUAAUCUGCGAAAAGCGUCGGUAAGGUGAUAUGAACCGUUACAGCCGGCGAUGUCCGAAUGGGGAAACCCAGUGCAAUUCGUUGCACUAUCGUUAACUGAAUACAUAGGUUAACGAGGCGAACCGGGGGAACUGAAACAUCUAAGUACCCCGAGGAAAAGAAAUCAACCGAGAUUCCCCCAGUAGCGGCGAGCGAACGGGGAGCAGCCCAGAGUCUGAAUCAGCUUGUGUGUUAGUGGAACGGUCUGGAAAGUCCGACGGUACAGGGUGAUAGUCCCGUACACCAAAAUGCACAGGCUGUGAACUCGAAGAGUAGGGCGGGACACGUGGUAUCCUGUCUGAAUAUGGGGGGACCAUCCUCCAAGGCUAAAUACUCCUGACUGACCGAUAGUGAACCAGUACCGUGAGGGAAAGGCGAAAAGAACCCCGGCGAGGGGAGUGAAAAAGAACCUGAAACCGUGUACGUACAAGCAGUGGGAGCACCUUCGGGUGUGACUGCGUACCUUUUGUAUAAUGGGUCAGCGACUUAUAUUCUGUAGCAAGGUUAACCGUAUAGGGGAGCCGCAGGGAAACCGAGUCUUAACUGGGCGUUAAGUUGCAGGGUAUAGACCCGAAACCCGGUGAUCUAGCCAUGGGCAGGUUGAAGGUUGGGUAACACUAACUGGAGGACCGAACCGACUAAUGUUGAAAAAUUAGCGGAUGACUUGUGGCUGGGGGUGAAAGGCCAAUCAAACCGGGAGAUAGCUGGUUCUCCCCGAAAGCUAUUUAGGUAGCGCCUCGUGAAUUCAUCUUCGGGGGUAGAGCACUGUUUCGGCUAGGGGGUCAUCCCGACUUACCAACCCGAUGCAAACUGCGAAUACCGAAGAAUGUUAUCACGGGAGACACACGGCGGGUGCUAACGUCCGUCGUGAAGAGGGAAACAACCCAGACCGCCAGCUAAGGUCCCAAAGUCAUGGUUAAGUGGGAAACGAUGUGGGAAGGCACAGACAGCCAGGAUGUUGGCUUAGAAGCAGCCAUCAUUUAAAGAAAGCGUAAUAGCUCACUGGUCGAGUCGGCCUGCGCGGAAGAUGUAACGGGGCUAAACCAUGCACCGAAGCUGCGGCAGCGACACUAUGUGUUGUUGGGUAGGGGAGCGUUCUGUAAGCCUGCGAAGGUGUGCUGUGAGGCAUGCUGGAGGUAUCAGAAGUGCGAAUGCUGACAUAAGUAACGAUAAAGCGGGUGAAAAGCCCGCUCGCCGGAAGACCAAGGGUUCCUGUCCAACGUUAAUCGGGGCAGGGUGAGUCGACCCCUAAGGCGAGGCCGAAAGGCGUAGUCGAUGGGAAACAGGUUAAUAUUCCUGUACUUGGUGUUACUGCGAAGGGGGGACGGAGAAGGCUAUGUUAGCCGGGCGACGGUUGUCCCGGUUUAAGCAUGUAGGCUGGUUGUCCAGGCAAAUCCGGAUAAUCAAGGCUGAGGUGUGAUGACGAGGCACUACGGUGCUGAAGUAACAAAUGCCCUGCUUCCAGGAAAAGCCUCUAAGCAUCAGGUAACAUUAAAUCGUACCCCAAACCGACACAGGUGGUCAGGUAGAGAAUACCAAGGCGCUUGAGAGAACUCGGGUGAAGGAACUAGGCAAAAUGGUGCCGUAACUUCGGGAGAAGGCACGCUGGUGUGUAGGUGAAGUCCCUGCGGAUGGAGCUGAGACCAGUCGAAGAUACCAGCUGGCUGCAACUGUUUAUUAAAAACACAGCACUGUGCAAACACGAAAGUGGACGUAUACGGUGUGACGCCUGCCCGGUGCCGGAAGGUUAAUUGAUGGGGUUAUCCGUAAGGAGAAGCUCUUGAUCGAAGCCCCGGUAAACGGCGGCCGUAACUAUAACGGUCCUAAGGUAGCGAAAUUCCUUGUCGGGUAAGUUCCGACCUGCACGAAUGGCGUAAUGAUGGCCAGGCUGUCUCCACCCGAGACUCAGUGAAAUUGAACUCGCUGUGAAGAUGCAGUGUACCCGCGGCAAGACGGAAAGACCCCGUGAACCUUUACUAUAGCUUGACACUGAACAUUGAGCCUUGAUGUGUAGGAUAGGUGGGAGGCUUUGAAGCGUGGACGCCAGUCUGCGUGGAGCCAACCUUGAAAUACCACCCUUUAAUGUUUGAUGUUCUAACGUUGGCCCCUUACCGGGGUUGCGGACAGUGUCUGGUGGGUAGUUUGACUGGGGCGGUCUCCUCCCAAAGCGUAACGGAGGAGCACGAAGGUUAGCUAAUCCUGGUCGGACAUCAGGAGGUUAGUGCAAUGGCAUAAGCUAGCUUGACUGCGAGCGUGACGGCGCGAGCAGGUGCGAAAGCAGGUCAUAGUGAUCCGGUGGUUCUGAAUGGAAGGGCCAUCGCUCAACGGAUAAAAGGUACUCCGGGGAUAACAGGCUGAUACCGCCCAAGAGUUCAUAUCGACGGCGGUGUUUGGCACCUCGAUGUCGGCUCAUCACAUCCUGGGGCUGAAGUAGGUCCCAAGGGUAUGGCUGUUCGCCAUUUAAAGUGGUACGCGAGCUGGGUUUAGAACGUCGUGAGACAGUUCGGUCCCUAUCUGCCGUGGGCGCUGGAGAAUUGAGGGGGGCUGCUCCUAGUACGAGAGGACCGGAGUGGACGCAUCACUGGUGUUCGGGUUGUCAUGCCAAUGGCACUGCCCGGUAGCUAAAUGCGGAAGAGAUAAGUGCUGAAAGCAUCUAAGCACGAAACUUGCCCCGAGAUGAGUUCUCCCUGAGACUUUAAGUCUCCUGAAGGAACGUUAAAGACGAUGACGUUGAUAGGCCGGGUGUGUAAGCGCAGCGAUGCGUUGAGCUAACCGGUACUAAUGAACCGUGAGGCUUAACCUU